rnacentral:rRNA from 1 species
UGGGGAAUCUUCCGCAAUGGACGAAAGUCUGACGGAGCAACGCCGCGUGAGUGAAGACGGCCUUCGGGUUGUAAAGCUCUGUGAUCCGGGACGAAAGAGCCUGAGGUGAAUAGCCUAAGGAAGUGACGGUACCGGAAAAGCAAGCCACGGCUAACUACGUGCCAGCAGCCGCGGUAAAACGUAGGUGGCAAGCGUUGUCCGGAAUUAUUGGGCGUAAAGCGCGCGCAGGCGGCUUCCUAAGUCCAUCUUAAAAGUGCGGGGCUUAACCCCGUGAUGGGAUGGAAACUGGGAAGCUGGAGUAUCGGAGAGGAAAGUGGAAUUCCUAGUGUAGCGGUGAAAUGCGUAGAGAUUAGGAAGAACACCGGUGGCGAAGGCGACUUUCUGGACGAAAACUGACGCUGAGGCGCGAAAGCGUGGGGAGCAAACAGG